rnacentral:rRNA from 1 species
UGGGGAAUUUUGCACAAUGGGGGAAACCCUGAUGCAGCAACGCCGCGUGAGUGAAGAAGGCCUUUUGGUCGUAAAGCUCUUUCGCUAGGAAAGAAGAAUUCUUUGGUUAAUACCCAGAGAAUUUGACGGUACCUAGAUAAGAAGCACCGGCUAAUUUCGUGCCAGCAGCCGCGGUAAUACGAAAGGUGCGAGCGUUGUUCGGAUUGACUGGGCGUAAAGCGCAUGUAGGCGGGUUCAUAAGUCAGAUGUGAAAUCCCCGAGCUCAACUUGGGAAUGGCAUCUGAAACUGUGAGUCUUGAAUAUCUAAGAGGUUAUCGGAAUUCCAGGUGUAGCAGUGAAAUGCGUAGAUAUCUGGAGGAACACCAGAGGCGAAGGCGGAUAACUGGUAGAAUAUUGACGCUCAGAUGCGAAAGCGUGGGUAGCAAACAGG